UACGUAGGGACCGAGCGUUGUCCGGAAUCAUUGGGCGUAAAGAGCGUGUAGGCGGCCUGUUAAGUCUUGCGUGAAAUCUCGGGGCUCAACCCCGAGCGGUCGUGAGAAACUGGCGGGCUAGAGUGCGGGAGAGGAGAGUGGAAUUCCUGGUGUAGCGGUGAAAUGCGCAGAUAUCAGGAGGAACACCGGUGGCGAAGGCGGGACUCUGGACCGAUACUGACGCUGAGGAGCGAAAGCGUGGGGAGCGAACAGG
rnacentral:rRNA from 1 species